rnacentral:rRNA from 1 species
UACGAAGGGGGCUAGCGUUGCUCGGAAUUACUGGGCGUAAAGCGCACGUAGGCGGCUUUCUAAGUCGGAGGUGAAAUCCUGGAGCUCAACUCCAGAACUGCCUUCGAUACUGGAGAGCUUGAGUCCGGGAGAGGUGAGUGGAACUGCGAGUGUAGAGGUGAAAUUCGUAGAUAUUCGCAAGAACACCAGUGGCGAAGGCGGCGAUCUGGGAAGAUACUGACGCUGAGGUGCGAAAGCGUGGGGAGCAAACAGG